UAAAAUACAGCGCUGGAUGAAGUUACAUGUACGGCUGCCCCCCCCCGCCCCGUUUCAGAGGCAAUGGUGGAGGGCAGGGAGCCACUUCCAGUCCUCUAUCCACUUCCCCAACAUUUUCUUCCUCUGAAAUGAAAAAGAAAUCCAGAUUCUCCUCCACACGUCUCUUGAUCUUCACCAGACUUGAAGAACCUGUAGUUCUUAGAGCUGGAGAAAUCCUGUGUUCCUACUCAGCUGAGAAGCACAUCCUCUGCUCUUCCAUUACAGUUCUUUGUCUAGAAAACAUCUUUUCAGUCUUUGUCAGAGUAAAUGCCCUGUUUUUGGGUCCAUGAGACAUCUGGCCCUGCUGCUGUGUCUGGGGCUGAAAAGCACUCGCUGGGCAGGAAUUUGGCUUGGAAUGCUGGGAUCCAGAAAGCUGCUGGCUCUGGAAAUUACCCCAUUUAUGAACUAGUGUUGCACUUCUCUUUAGAUUAGAAGCCAAAAAAAAAAUUAUAAUGGCUACAAGGUCUGCAAAGUAGUUUGCCUGCUUGUGGGAAUAAGAUUUAAAUGUCAUGAAUGAAGUUAAUGUUAUUAUCUAUCAUUAAUCUGAAGACUGAAAAAACAGAACUGUGUUUCAUAAUAUCUUUGGGGAAUAGUCUGACAAAUAGAUCUUCAAUUAGGGAUCAUUUCCUGACAGCUUUGGUGUUUUCUGGAAAGAUUGUGUAAUGUUGAUAAUGAGUUGUUGGAUUAUAUUCACACUUAAAUCACUUAAACUAUCUUUGCCUCUCAUGUGGAAAAAGAAACAAGGUAUUUUUAGAGGGUUAUGAUGUGUUUCCAAAUUUUGGGGGUGAAGGAACUUGCUAUAGAGUAGAAGAAAUGUUACUUUAGGUGGUAUUUUUCAUAGAAAGUCUUACUCUAUUUCAUGGGAGAACUGACAGAGUAUUAGUUUUCAAAUUAAUAUCAGAUAAUAUUAUGCAACAACAUCAUGUCAUGAUAUUUGUAAAAUAAUUGCUAGCUGGAGUAAUGAGUAAGUACCGAAAAGUAAGACAACUGCGUAAAUCUGCUCAUAUUUGCAUGGGCAAGCUAAAAUAUGUGUUUAAUUGCAAUAAUUCUCAAAGUUCUUGUAAACAACUAUUACAUUUCUUAGGCAAACAUGCUUGAUAUUUUUAAAUCUAAUUAUAAACAGAAAUAUUUUUGCUACUCACAGAGGUAUUUAAGUUCUCUGUGUCUGCAGUCCUCCACUAGAGCUGCUGGAAGUGAAUUGCUGCAUGGCACAAGCACUGCUGUUUUGGGAGUGGGUGCAGCCUGAACUGGGAGGCCAGGAUAGUGUCCUGUGCUUCUGCAUGCUUAUUUUCUAUCUGCAAGCAUUGCAAAAAGGGAGGGAACGUUGUGCUUUCAUUGCAAAGAAGUUACUUAUAGUAUGGGUAACUUCCUUGUGAGACUCAUCCUUAGCUAGAUGGUAAAUCUAGAGCAGCUUUGUGGAAAGUAAGAUCACUUGACAGAGACAGGAAAUACUUUGAAAUUUAUAUUUAUGUUACAUUAAAAGUUUUAUGUUUUGAAACUGGAUGUUUCUGUCAGUUUGUCACCUGCCUUAUCUCUGAACUUUGGUGCAUUCACACAAAUAUGAUAGUGUGUGCUUUUUGUAGGAUCACAUUUGUGAAAUGAUUUCUUGAUUAAUGUGACAGGAAAUAUUUCUGAAAGUUUGACAAGCUCCAACUGGUUAGGAUCUCAAAGCACUGAAAGCUGGUGAUGUCUAAACCUGCUUAGCGGAAAGUCAGAUAUAAAUGUAUUCAAAUCUGAAGGUGAUAAAGACUAACUUUUUGAUUACAAUACCAUAGGAAAACCUACCCUGUUAAAUCUCAGAUAAGAACUGUAUUUUUCACAAGCAUCUUCUAAAACUUUUUACAUCCAUGGGUGUUUGCUUAUAUGAAGUCUGACUUUGUUUGUCUAAAGACUGAAGCAAAAAUUAGUGCAUUCAUUAUUUCCAUAGCUGUUAGUACAUUUUUGGGCUUGAUGUUGAAUCUAUAAAUAAUGCUAAAAUAAUUGCUUAUGGUCCAUCUGUACAAAUUGCAAUUUUUGUGCAUAUGUAACAUUUGAUGCAUGAAAAUAUUAAGAUGAAAUUGCAUUUAGAUGUUAGAUACUUAGAAUUGUAAAGAGGAAUGAUAGAGGUUUUGGUAAGGGGCUUUCUUUUGUCUGUGAUCCCAUGAAUUUAGGGUUCAAUUUGAAGGGGAUAAAGGGUGUUAGAGCCUGCCUGUGCAAGCAGAAGCAAGUAACAGUGCCAAGGAUUUAUACAUUUCUCUAAAUGUUAAAGCAUUGAACAGAGCUUUUCUUCUGGUUUGCCAGAAAAGGCAAGAUUUGACCCUUUGGCAGUAUCUUUAAUGAGAGAGACUCCCCUUCUGAGCAUUGCCUGACCGAAAGGUGCUGACACCGUUGAGUCAACACAACUGUCCUGGCUUGUUUUUUAAAUAUUUGUAGGGAGUUCACAGGUGAUAAGCUGACAACCAAGAUAGAGACUCUAGAAAUGUAUUGUUCGUGAACUUGUGUCUCACAUGCAAGAACAAGGUUUUGUAGGAGUAACAGUGGGCACUGAGUUCAUGAGUCAACAGGCUGGGCAGGAGUGCAGCCUGCUGCAGGCGGGACAGCAGCGGCACUCCAGAAGUCAACUGCUUGCUGUGGCUGUGUAAAAUAGUUCAGAAUUUGCACGAGUAACUGAAUCCAGAAGUAAAAUUUCUUUAUAACUAAAACAUAAAAAAAUCUCUUUUUUAUUAACUAAAAACUGGACUUUUUCACCAAGGCAACAAUAUUUGUAUCUAUCUUGGCCUGUUUCCGCUGGCUCUGUAACAACAAUAAAAUAAUGAGAAACGUGCUAGUUAAAGGUCCAUAGAACCAGUCUGGUGUUAGUGAUGCAUACACUCCCAAAACAUAAAUAAUUAUAUAAAAGAUUGGAAAAAGUCUUAAUUGUGAAAAUAUGUUAAGAAUACGUAAGAAUGUUGUAAACUUUCUGGGACAGUUUUUAUCUUGACAAAACUGCAGCUGAAUGGUUUUCUAAUAUUCUAUAGACAAUGAAUAUAAAUUUCUAAAAGAUCUACUAAAAUUAUAAACUAAACUGUAAACUAAAAUAACAUCAAUAUAAACUAUUUAAGUCAACAAAGAUCCUUGAUUUUUAAUUUCCUUUUAUGUUCUAUGUAAAGAUGGACAAAUUAAUUUUGAGAGGGUUCUGUUAGGGAGAUCCUAUCUCAUAUUCUGUGGAUGUCUAGAGAACGCAGCAUUUACACCUUAUAAAGUGAAUUUAAUUCAUAAAGCUGCUGUGCUCAGUUCAGACAUGCUGGUAGGAUCAGUCCCUUCAAAAUAUUUCAGCAUAUUUUAUUACUAACUACUUUUCCAAUAUGUCAGCUAUAUCAAAGCACUCUUUGCCUAAUGGUGAACUGAAUAAGUAAUUUAUUGUCAGUCGAUAGAAAAGAGUGGCAUUUGAAAUGCUGUAUUUAUCUUGCAUUCAGUCAUUGGAAUGAAAAAUGUUAUAUUAAUAUAUAUUCAAUAUAUUAAAUGUUAUACCUCUACAUUUAUAAUUGAUAAAGUAGAAAAUAUUUGUGUCUCAUCUUAAGGAAAACAGAAUUUUUGUUAUUUCAGAAAGAGGAUACAGGUCCCUAAUUAUAAUAACAUAUUCUGUCUUUCUUCCGUCCUAUUGGCAAGUAACGAUCAUUUCUGUUUUAUUACAUUUCUAGAUAGAAAUUCAUCAUUCUUGAUUUUUUUUUUUUUUACUUCUGUAGCAAUUUAGCAAGAACAGUAGGACUAAAAAAAGUCAAUCUAUGAGGCAUAACAUGUUUUGACUAAUUAGUCACAAGUGUUUGUUCUUCAUCAGCCAUGAUUCUUUACCUUAUGAUCUCUCAUUUAAAUGUUAACCUGGGCUGGUAGUGUUCCAUUUCCAGGAUCAGAUGGGGUUGAGCACUCUCAGUCUGUGUGGGCAGACUACCAGGAGAAAAAAUAUACAUGCACCUGGUAGUACUGAAAGGAUUAUUUUGCUUACAGUGAUUUUGUUUCUUUCAGUGUGUACAGAAUGGAAUGUCUGUUCCCAAAGUAAGGACGUUACAAAUUCCAGGAGGAGAAUGUGUCUAUGGCUAAAAUAUUUAAAUAUUGAAUGUUUUAGUGAAGUUACUGCACAUUAGAAUGAAUAAUACUUGCACCUACAGUGUGCUGGAGUGCUCACAGACCAAGCAGUGAUUAAUUUUCUUCUAAUAUACCAUUUUUAAAUAAGAUGAUUCACAUCAAAACUUCCCUACAGUAAUGAACUGUAUUUUUAUUUGUUACCGAAACCAGGCUGCAAGACCCAGCAGAAGAUCUUUUCAGUAUAACUUAAGACAGAACUUUGUAGGAAUUAUUGGGUUUGAAUGCAGUACACAAAUUGAACUGCACAUCUGAUUUAGAUUCUUAACUGUCAGAAAUGCCAGUAAAAACACACUAUUGAAUCAAAGAUAACAGAUUAUGAGUUAGUCUUGAAAGAAAGAAAUAAACAAGACCUUUUUACAAGUACAGGUGUGCUUAAGAACCAGAUGCACUAAGAAUCUUCUGUUUGUCUGUUAAUGUCUUACCACAGCUAGCACAGCAAUGAGAUUGCUCAGUGCCUCAUCGCUGCUUGCUUCAAGAUGAAAAUUCACU
ensembl:lncRNA